rnacentral:rRNA from 1 species
GACAGAGGGUGCAAACGUUGUUCGGAAUUACUGGGCGUAAAGCGCGUGUAGGCUGCUCUGCAAGUCGGAUGUGAAAGCCCUGGGCUCAACCUAGGAAGUGCACUCGAAACUGCAGAGCUUGAGUCUCGGAGAGGAUCGCGGAAUUCUCGGUGUAGAGGUGAAAUUCGUAGAUAUCGAGAGGAACACCGGUGGCGAAGGCGGCCUUCUGGACAGUGACUGACGCCGAGACGCGAAAGCGUGGGGAGCAAACAGG